UGUCUUAAGAAGCGUUUAGUAAGAAGGAUAACGAACACAGAAAGCUUAUUGGAGUUGCACCAGAAACUUUUCCGAUAGCGGUUCUAACAAGGAGAUAGAUGUACAGUCAAAUGUGGCUUCAACAAAAGCUUUCCCAAAAGCAAUAGGUGCAGGUGCUUCAAUAGUGUCUCAAGAAGGGCUUAAGAAUCAGUAUCACAAAUACAAAAAGCUCCCAGAAGCAAUGGAUGCAGGUGCUCCAAUGGUGUCUCAACAAGGGCUUAAGAAUAUGUAUCACAAGCACAGAAGGCUUAUUGGAGUUGCACCAGAAACUCCUCUGAUAGCGGGUUCUAACAAGGAAAUAGAUGAACAAUCAGAGGUGGCUUCAGCAAAAGGUUUCCCAAAAGCAAUGGGUCCAGUGGCUGUGCCUCCUUAGACAGCAACAACUGCAAGUGGUGAAGAAAAUUAAAGCAAGUUAUUGUGAAGUGAAUAUGCCUAUCACUAACUCCACAAGCUUCAGUGACAAGGUCGAGGCAGGACUUAAAUUUGAUUUCGUACUUUUGCUUGAUUCAUGGUAAAAGCAGCACAUGAUUUUCUUUUUGUUUUUGAUUUCCUUGUUUGUUGAUUUCGGAGACCGUCUUGGAUAUUGGGUUGUUUUCUUUUUAUUUUCAAUGGUAUUUUGGUAUAAAAGCUCUGUGAUGUCCUUAA